GACGAACGCUGGCGGCGUGCCUAAUACAUGCCAGUAGAACGAGUUGCGAACGGGUGAGUAACGCGUGGUAACCUGCCUCAUAGCGGGGGAUAACUAUUGGAAACGAUAGCUAAUACCGCAUACUGUGAGAUGGACCUGCGUUGUAUUCGCUAGUGGGUGAGGUAAAGGCUCACCAAGGCGACGAUACAUAGCUGGUCUGAGCGGAUGACCAGCCACACUGGAACGUAGACACGGUCCAGACUCCUACGUGAGGCAGCAGUGGGGAAUAUGGCACAAUGGGCGCAAUCCUGAUGCAGCCAUGCCGCGUGUAUGAAGAAGGCCUUCGGGUUGUAAAGUACUUUCAGCGGGGAGGCGUUACCCGCAGAAGAAGCACCGGCUAACUCCGUGCCAGCAGCCGCGGUAAUUC
rnacentral:rRNA from 1 species